rnacentral:tRNA from 1 species
GCCGCCAUAGCUCAGUCGGUUAGAGCGUGGGUCUAAUAAGCCCAAAGUCGCAGGUUCGACCCCUGCUGGCGGCA